rnacentral:rRNA from 1 species
GUAGGGAAUAUUGGGCAAUGGUCGGAAGACUGACCCAGCCAUGCCGCGUGCAGGAAGACGGCCCUCUGGGUUGUAAACUGCUUUUAUCUGGGAAGAAAAAGGCCAUGCGUGGCAAAUUGCCGGUACCAGAUGAAUAAGCACCGGCUAACUCCGUGCCAGCAGCCGCGGUAAUACGGAGGGUGCGAGCGUUGUCCGGAUUUAUUGGGUUUAAAGGGUGCGUAGGCGGCUGAUUAAGUCAGCGGUGAAAGACUUCGGCUUAACCGGAGCAUUGCCGUUGAUACUGGUUGGCUUGAGUGUCGGAGGGGGACAUGGAAUUGAUGGUGUAGCGGUGAAAUGCAUAGAUACCAUCAGGAACACCGAUAGCGAAGGCAUUGUACUGGCCGACAACUGACGCUGAUGCACGAAAGUGUGGGGAUCGAACAGGAUUAGAAACCCCAGUAGUCC